rnacentral:rRNA from 1 species
AUGGCCCAUUCCCACGGCCCCUCCCUCCUCCUCGCUCCUCGCCAUGGCCUCCUACUCCCCUCCACCACCAUACGUGCACACAGACGGCGGUGCCGGAGAAGAGCAGCUCCAGUCAUGGUGGGGUGCGGCUGCGACGGAGAUGAAGGAGGUCCGCCGCCCAUGUUUGUCUCCUUGCUGUAUCCUUUGUUACCGAUCCUCCCUUCUCCCUUCGCCCCUAGCAGCACAGCAGUCGGGGACAAGGGGAAGGAGCAGGUCGACCCGAAUCCAUCUCUCUGCAAGAGGACUAGAGGAGCAGGUGGCGAGGGAAACCGGCACGGUCAGCGGCGGCGCUGCACAGGGACGUCCACCUCCGGAGAAUGUCGAUUUAAAGCAUUUGGUUCUGAUGGAUCAUAUUAUUGGUUCUCUGUUCAACUGAAGAUGUCUUUAGAUAGGACUAAGGUGAGUUGA